rnacentral:ncRNA from 1 species
ACAAUGAAGAGUUUGAUCCUGGCUCAGGAUGAACGCUAGCUACAGGCUUAACACAUGCAAGUCGAGGGGAAACGACAUUGAAAGCUUGCUUUUAAUGGGCGUCGACCGGCGCACGGGUGCGUAACGCGUAUCGAACCUGCCCUUUACUCAGGGAUAGCCUUGCGAAAGUAAGAUUAAUACCUGAUAGUGUUGUGAUGAGGCAUCUUGUUGCAACUAAAGAUUUAUUGGUAAAGGAUGGCGAUGCGUCUGAUUAGGUAGUAGGCGGGGUAACGGCCCACCUAGCCGACGAUCAGUAGGGGUUCUGAGAGGAAGGUCCCCCACAUUGGAACUGAGACACGGUCCAAACUC